rnacentral:sRNA from 1 species
GUUAAUAAAGUAAACAACUAAAAUAGUAUAACAAGUAAUUAUAUGCAAGCAUACUCUCUCCCCUUUCACUCUGUUCGUCUCCUCUCUCAUUCAAUUCAUCCAUCUUCUAAUUUUUAACUAAUUAGUAAAAAUGAUCAAUAAUUACAAACAACAGAAUCAACUAUAUUAGAUUUUUAACUAAUUAUUAUUCUUAAGAUUAUAAUUACUCCGUAGCAUUAUGAGUUUAUUUGUAUAUAAUUGCAUAUAUAAGCCACACUAAGAUAGCAGUAUAUAGUUGUUGAAAAGUUUUAUUUGUUACUAUUAAAUUUAAGUUUUCAGAUUCAUGUUAACUAGGUAUUAUCUUUUAAAAAGGAUAAUAUAGAUCAUGCAUAUCACAAGGAAAUGAGGCCUAUGAUACAUCUUUGUUAAUUUAUAUGUAAGUAUAUAACAUUUUGUGUAAAUCUGAACCAUCUAGAAGGAGGACUAAUUUGGUGGGACAAAUAAAGCAUAUUUAUUAACAGUAAUAGUUCUUUAGGAUUUAUUUUAAAAAAUACUAAACAUUCAAUUAAACAAGACAAAUCACCUUAUUUUUAUUUACACUUAAUUUAUUAGACAUGUUUUUCAAACAAAGUAAAUCUAACUUUACGAUGAAGAAGAGAUGAUAGAUAAUUGUUUAUAGGGAUGUAUUAAAUAUUACAUAUUUAAAUUCUAACGAAUAGUUUGGUAAAAUUAUGUAAGCAAUGUCGAUGAAAAGAAAUAGAGAAAUGAUACUUUGAAAACAUGGUAGGUGUCAUCCGGUUGAUAUUUAAUCUAUAUAAUUAAGUAUUUAAUAAGCAAUCUAUAACACAUGCCCGCGCAUUCGCGCGGGCUAUCUUUCUAGUUAAUAUAAUGGUUACAAGGUAGAAUCUCUCUACCUUUUACGUCAAAAAAAAUGUGGCAAAUAGUUAAAUGCUGCACAUAAACUUUUUUUGGGACUUCCCAUAGCGUUUUGGACGGUUUUCGUAGGGUUUAAAUUUGGCUCAUUUUCCUUUCAAAACAAAGUUAGCUUAACUGCUUGAAAUCAUAUUUUGUAUUUAAGAUACGAACUCAUUAUUUGGCUUUAUGCUUAUGCUUAUUUGAAUCAGUUAUUAGCAAUAUAAACAUAAUAUGGAUAAAAAAUUUUAUAUGUGUUCUUAGUGAUUCAAAAGCAAAUGUUGCUACGAUGAGAAAACCACAAAAUCAACUUCAAAAUUAAGUUAUAAAAUUUAAAACUGCUUAUAAGCAUAAGUGAAACAAUGGGACUCAUAAUUGCAUACCAGUAAUAAAUAUGCAAAUGUGCCAAUUCUCUAUAGCCCGCAGUGCAAAGUGUGCAACAUACAGCAUAACAGGCUAACAGCAAACGCAGAAAGAGUGCAACUUGAAACAAGCCGGCAAAUUUUGGAUCAAUCAUUCAAUAAUUUAACCAGGUAAAAUAUCAUACAAUUCUUGGUAGAAGACUACAGUUACAACAAAUGAUGGGCAGUUACUACAGUUACAACAAAUGCUGGGAUUAAGAUAGUAGUUCUUUCCAACAUUUCCUCAUCUACAGACUUGUACUAAAAGAGUAGCAAAUAUGAGCUAUUUAGGCAGAUCCUUAAGCCACACAUGAAAAAUUCAAGAAAGCUCUUGAGCAUCACCAUUAUGCAGCCUUAGCCUUUGCCAAUGCCUUCUUCCGUUGGGCAAGCAUGUAGGUGAACAUGUGAGGCGAUCCUGCAACGCAGUGUUCUUGUCAGAUCCUAUCUUAAUCCCAGCUACUAAAAAACAACAUUGCAAUUCUAGUUUUAAUUUCAACCACUGAAUAAAGGAUGACUGCAAGGCAGGAGGGGAUACCGGGCACGUAGAUGGCGAGAGAAAGGAUGGAUGCAUAGAAGAAAUCAAAGGAGAAGUUCCAUUUGUUGGGCAUCCUAAGGCAGUAUUUCUCUGAUGCCUGCAUAGUAGUCACAAGAAAGGAGCAGUUAAAUUACGCAUUAUGCAUUAUGCAAUGAACAACGUGGAGAUCUUCAUUUCUGAAGUUCAUUCUUGUUACCUUCAUGUAAGGCAAGGCAAUGUAGAUUAAACCGACCUCACUGCUGAUACCAGUAGGAUACAAUACCAUAAAGGUGCUAUACCUGUACAAAAUCAGCACCAGGUUUAAGAAAAAAAGUUAUGAAAGAAAAAGAAAAUCAUUCCCUCUAAAUUUGUCCUAAAUAAUGAUAUAUCUUCUUUACUAACCUCAGCCAUAAGAGCCAGGAAGGAGCAAAUCCGAAUGCCUCCUUCAUGCCAAAGAAGGAAUAUCUAAUGAUCUGCAAGGAACCACAAAUAUUUCCAUCACGUUAUGCUAUCAAAUUCACAAUAUUUUAAAUAUUGGUGUGAAUAAGCUUAGCACAGGAAAAAUCAAAAUUAGAAUUUGGAAAAUACAGUGUCUCUUUAAGAAGCAAGUCUUUAAAAUAUACCUCAGUGAUGGACCAGCUUAUGACCAAGGAAGUAACAAGGAUAUGUGAAUGUGUCUGCAAGACAAAUGUACAAAGGGGUCAAUCAAUAUAUAUGUCAAGAAACCAGGUGUUAAGCUACACUACAAGUAUGCAACUAACAGAAAACUAGGGAUGCAAAAGUAAAGGCACUGCAUUUGCAUAUCAGUACCAGUAGUUAUGCCAUUUAGUAACUUGUACAAUCAUCACCAUUAUUUACUUGAUCCACAACCAGAUAUAAAACAGACAAACUACCUAGUGUCCUGUCCUCAUAUAAAAAUCAAAUCAUAUAAUCCAUAUUUCCUAUUUAGACAAUGGUUUUAAACCCCAAAAUUAUGUCAUGUUUCAAUGUCUCGGAGAAACAGUAAGCGCUUAGGAGAAGUGUCUAACUAAAGAAGAAAAUUUCCAAAUCUCAUGAACAUAGCACAUCAACACUUGUUAGUGAUAGUCGAUGAUACCUCUGGAAAGCUCCACAGGAUGCCCCAGGUAAGAAACAACCUCGAUCCAAUUUGUGGAAGAGUUGCAGAGACUGGAGACCUCACCAAACCUUUAAAACAAAGUCAGCAUGUUAUACAGGUGAAAAAAAUGAAAGUGCCGUAAAAGUGAACUUAUUAAGUACAAUUAUUUUCAUAAUCUAACAGGACACUUCCUGUAAAUUGAAAUGUGUCUUUGACGUGCUUUCUAACAAGAAAGUCUAUUUCCAUGCAGUUUGCAAGCGGCACGCUAUAGACAGAAACCGUACGAUUCCAAAUGAUGACAAGGAUAGUGAAAAUAACAUAAGUAGAAGAGAAGAACAACUUCUUACCUACAAGCCCAUGAAGAAUCUGAGCCACCAGCAACGCCAUCGCCAAACAAACACAAAAAUGUUCAGUACCUCACAAAACACAAUUUGCAAAGAAAUGAAAUAAACAUGGAAUACUCGUUCAUUCUGUGUUCACCGCAGACUCGUUCAGCUGCUCCGUGCAAAGAAUAUAAAUGCUUCCUUAUCCAGGGAACUACAAGGAAUUUAACACAAAGUAUAGGGCAGCAGAAAUUUUUCUUUUCUUUUUAGCAGAAUUAUCGGGGGAGAGGAUCAGGCAGCAGAAACAUAAUAACAUUGAAGUUGAAUUAAUUGCAGUAUAUUUUGCUAUAACACUGGUAAUAUUUCUCUCAGGCUAAAUGUUUGGUUGAUUUUUAGAACGCAAAAGGGGAUAAAUUUUUUUCCUCUGUGCCAUUGCUCAACACCAGCAACCCUAAUUGGGUAGACGAAAAAUUCAAAAUUAAGUCAGAGCUGCCCAAAUUAUACAAGCUUGCGCUAAAAUCUACAGUUUUACUGCGAUUAAAAUUCAAAAAUAAGUCAGAGCGCACAGAAUAGCAGAAAAACCAGACCUCCAAGAAGGCGGCGGUCUGCGCGAACUGCAGCGGCCGCUCGACGGCGGCGUAGACGGCCUCAUGGCCGCUCUCCAGCAGCGUCGUGACCGCGUAGUACAGCACCUGCGCCCUGCAAGAUCCAAGAAACCCCCAAAUCAAGCCAAG